rnacentral:rRNA from 1 species
AUUGAACGCUGGCGGCAUGCUUUACACAUGCAAGUCGAACGGUAACAGGCCGCAAGGUGCUGACGAGUGGCGAACGGGUGAGUAAUGCAUCGGAACGUGCCCAGUCGUGGGGGAUAACUACUCGAAAGAGUAGCUAAUACCGCAUACGAUCUAUGGAUGAAAGCGGGGGACCGUAAGGCCUCGCGCGAUUGGAGCGGCCGAUGUCAGAUUAGGUAGUUGGUGUGGUAAAGGCUCACCAAGCCAACGAUCUGUAGCUGGUCUGAGAGGACGACCAGCCACACUGGGACUGAGACACGGCCCAGACCCCUACGGGAGGCAGCAGUGGGGAAUUUUGGACAAUGGGCGCAAGCCUGAUCCAGCAAUGCCGCGUGCAGGAAGAAGGCCUUCGGGUUGUAAACUGCUUUUGUACGGAACGAAACGGCUCUGGUUAAUACCCGGGGCUAAUGACGGUACCGUAAGAAUAAGCACCGGCUAACUACGUG